UGGGGAAUCUUGGACAAUGGGCGCAAGCCUGAUCCAGCCAUGCCGCGUGAGCGAUGAAGGCCUUAGGGUUGUAAAGCUCUUUCACCGGUGAAGAUAAUGACGGUAGCCGGAGAAGAAGCCCCGGCUAACUCCGUGCCAGCAGCCGCGGUAAUACGGAGGGGGCUAGCGUUGUUCGGAAUUACUGGGCGUAAAGCGCACGUAGGCGGACCAGAAAGUUGGGGGUGAAAUCCCGGGGGCUCAACCCCGGAACUGCCUCCAAAACUAUUGGUCUAGAGUUCGAGAGAGGUGAGUGGAAUUCCAAGUGUAGAGGUGAAAUUCGUAGAUAUUUGGAGGAACACCAGUGGCGAAGGCGGCUCACUGGCUCGAUACUGACGCUGAGGUGCGAAAGUGUGGGGAGCAAAACAGGAUUAGAUACCCUGGUAGUCCACACCGUAAAACGAUGAAUGCCAGUCGUCGGGUAGCAUGCUAUUCGGUGACACACCUAACGGAUUAAGCAUUCCGCCUGGGGAGUACGGUCGCAAGAUUAAAACUC
rnacentral:rRNA from 1 species